rnacentral:rRNA from 1 species
UACGGAGGGUGCAAGCGUUAAUCGGAAUCACUGGGCGUAAAGCGCACGUAGGCCGCUUUGUAAGUCGGACGUGAAAGCCCUCGGCUCAACCGAGGAACUGCGUUCGAUACUGCGAGGCUUGAGUCCUGGAGAGGGUGGCGGAAUUCCGGGUGUAGGAGUGAAAUCCGUAGAUAUCCGGAGGAACACCGGUGGCGAAGGCGGCCACCUGGACAGGUACUGACGCUGAGGUGCGAAAGCGUGGGGAGCAAAC